GAUGAACGCUGGCGGCGUGCCUAAUACAUGCAAGUCGAACGCACAGCGAUAGGUGCUUGCACCUAUCAAGUGAGUGGCGAACGGGUGAGUAACACGUGGACAACCUGCCUCAAGGCUGGGGAUAACAUUUGGAAACAGAUGCUAAUACCGAAUAAAACUUAGUGUCGCAUGACACCAGGUUAAAAGGCGCUACGGCGUCACCUAGAGAUGGAUCCGCGGUGCAUUAGUUAGUUGGUGAGGUAAAGGCUCACCAAGACAAUGAUGCAUAGCCGAGUUGAGAGACUGAUCGGCCACAUUGGGACUGAG
rnacentral:rRNA from 1 species